AUUGAACGCUGGCGGCAUGCCUUACACAUGCAAAUCGAACGGUAACGGGCCUUCGGGUGCCGACGAGUGGCGAACGGGUGAGUAAUACAUCGGAACGUGCCCGAUCGUGGGGGAUAACGAGGCGAAAGCUUUGCUAAUACCGCAUACGAUCUACGGAUGAAAGCAGGGGACCGCAAGGCCUUGCGCGGACGGAGCGGCCGAUGGCAGAUUAGGUAGUUGGUGGGAUAAAAGCUUACCAAGCCGACGAUCUGUAGCUGGUCUGAGAGGAUGAUCAGCCACACUGGGACUGAGACACGGCACAGACUCCUACGGGAGGCAGCAGUGGGGAAUUUUGGACAAUGGGCGCAAGCCUGAUCCAGCCAUGCCGCGUGCAGGAUGAAGGCCUUCGGGUUGUAAACUGAUUUUGUACGGAACGAAAAGCCUUCUUUUAAUACAGGAGGGUCAUGACGGUACCGUAAGAAUAAGCACCGGCUAACUACGUG
rnacentral:rRNA from 1 species